UACGUAGGGCGCAAGCGUUGUUCGGAUUCACUGGGCGUAAAGGGUGCGUAGGCGGUCGGGUAAGUCUGAUGUGAAAUCUCACAGCUUAACUGUGAAACUGCAUUGGAUACUAUCCGGCUCGAGGAAUGGAGGGGAGACUGGAAUACUUGGUGUAGCAGUGAAAUGCGUAGAUAUCAAGUGGAACACCAGUGGCGAAGGCGAGUCUCUGGACAUUUCCUGACGCUGAGGCACGAAAGCCAGGGGAGCAAACGGG
rnacentral:rRNA from 1 species